rnacentral:rRNA from 1 species
AUUGAACGCUGGCGGCAUGCCUUACACAUGCAAGUCGAACGGCAGCACGGGAGCAAUCCUGGUGGCGAGUGGCGAACGGGUGAGUAAUGUAUCGGAACGUGCCCAGUCGUGGGGGAUAACGUAGCGAAAGCUACGCUAAUACCGCAUACGAUCUAUGGAUGAAAGCGGGGGAUCGCAAGGCCUCGCGCGAUUGGAGCGGCCGAUAUCAGAUUAGGUAGUUGGUGGGGUAAAGGCCCACAAAGCCAACGAUCUGGAGCUGGCCUGAGAGGACGACCAGCCACACUGGGACUGAGACACGGCCCAGAGUCGUACGGGAGGCAGCAGUGGGGAAUUUUGGACAAUGGGCGCGAGCCUGAUCUAGCAAUGCCGCGUGCAGGAUGAAGGCCUUCGGGUUGUAAACUGCUUUUUUACGGAGCGAAAAGGCUCCCUCUAAUACAGGGGGCUCAUGACGGUACCGUAAGAAUAAGCACCGGCUAACUACGUGCCAGCAGCCGCCGUAACAC